GGCGCAGGGCUGGGGCACGGGGAAGGGCGGGGGGACACGUCAGCGCGCACAGCCUUCUCCUCUUCAGCCUUCCUCCCCCGGGGUGCUUGCACUGUCUGCAUUUAGGAGGGGCUGACAAAAUGGGGAGUCUUCAGCAACACCCCAGGUAUAGAGAGGAAGGUAUCAACAUUUGUGAGCAGAAUGGUUUUUGCAGAUCCUGCAUCACUAUAAUAAGAUUGAUGGCUGCUGUAGCUUAGGGGGGUGGUGGUGAUGAGAGAAAGGAGAGGUUUCACUAGGCUACCUGCUCCAGAGGGGACAACAGGGACCUGGCAGGGAGUCUGCCUGGGACCAGCUGAGGGAAGUGCAGGAACACUGUUCCUUAUAAAAAGGUUGAGAUAGAGUCUGGCCUGCUCAAGUGACCAAGACGCUGCAACCAAGCAAGAAAAGGAUAUAAUUGCUAUUUCUAGAAGAGACCUUGUAUACUGUGUUCACUAAUGAAGCUCCAGGGCAUAGGCUGUAAACUGGAUGCUCGUGUCCCUCCAGAAUUCACUCCUGGAAAUCUGGUAUUUGAAGUUGGGGCCUUCAGGAGGUGAUUUGGUCAGGAGGUCAAAGCCCUCAAGAAUGGGGCCAGCUCCCCUUAUAAAGGAGGCCCCGGAGAGCUCCCUUGCCCUUCCUUCCAUGUGAGGACACAGGGAGAAGGCAGCUUGCUGUGAACCAGGUGGCAGAACCUCACCAGACACCUGAUCAGCUGGUGCCUUGAUCUCAGACUUCCAGCCUCCAAAAUGCUUUUACAGGACUUGUUUUCAAUACCUCAGGAUUCCCAGAAGUUAGAUUACUUGGGCCGUCUCCACAGAUGGCUUUGGAGCUCUGGAUCAAUAUUGUCCACUGGCCACCGAAGGGACUAUGUCUCCAUACGUUCUCGGGCAGUGAUGUUUAUUUGUACAAGCUUUGUGAACCUGAUAGGUCAAAUGAGCAUAAUGAACACAGCUUUAUUGUGGACUAAUUGUAAAAUGCAGAUAUGCAAGGAGAACAAAAUGAAAGCUACCUACAGUUUUAUCUUCUAGAGAUAGCCCAUGAUACCGUCUUUCAAGAAUUAUCACUACGCACAUGCAUGAGGCUUUAACAGAUUGUACUUGUCUGAAUGACUAUAUGAGGGUUUGCCCUGGAUACCAGACAUUCCCUUAAUAACUGUAUUGAGAUGCGUGGGUGAACGUACUUUGGACGCACGUGGACACGGUUCGCUCCGGAACCAUCACACCACUUUCCUGGCUUCCAUCACCUGGACCUGCAACAAGACAAGGCACUCCAUGUGUCUUUAACCUUUUCCAAUCUAAUAGGUGAGACACAUCAAUUUUUAAGUUUGAAUUUCUGUUUAUUGACAAAAUUAAAUAUUUUCAAUGCUUCAUUCCUGUGUUUUUCAUGCAAAUCUAUCAUUUUAUGAAUACAUUGUGUCCUCUUUUUAAAACUGUUUUGAGAAGACUCCUGUUAUAUUAAGGAUUCCAAUUACUUGUCCUACAUGCUGCAGAUAUUCCCAAUAUGUUGGUUUACUCUUAAUACUUUCUGGACUCCUUUAAUAUAUGAAUACUUGUGAUUUUAGGCCUGAAA